UGUUAGCUAAAGUUAUAGAGGCUUCUUUAUUUUGCAGAAAAAUGGAGGAAUCAGAACUAGAAUGUUCUUGCUUUACGAGUUUAUUUCGACUAGCACAGGCGUCAGCAACCUAUUUAAAUAGAGAGAGCCAUUUUUCCUUAAGUAUUGUUUUAAAAAAUUACUGACAGCCGCAAAUAUGCAAUUGUAAAAAGCUGAAGUCAAUAUCAAAAACUUAUUAUUUUAUGAUAUUUA